rnacentral:lncRNA from 1 species
AUUUCUGUUUGGUGGCAUUGUACUGGCCUUUAUCUAUGUACACCCAUGUAUCUGCAACUUCCUCACUGCUGUGUGUUUCUCUGUCUCUCUUUCUUUCCCCAUGUUUGUCUUGCACCCUUUGCAUCUUGCGCCUUUUUCAUUAUCCACACUGACUCUGUCUGCUCUCCUACUUUGCUCUCUGCUUCUUCUCUUCAACUUUCCUUUUGUCUCUUCCCCACCUCUCUCUCUCUUUCCUUGUUCUCCCCUCUGACUUCUUGUUUCUCUUCCUCCCAUUCCUCUAUCUUCCUUCUUUCUUUCCUUUCUGCUCCAUUCUUUCCCUGUUGAUACCUCUCUGUUCCUUUCUUCUUGCCUUUUUCCUGAUCAACCUCCCAUUCUGCAUCUUCUCCCCUUUUCUUAUCUCUCCAUCAUUGUUUCUCUUCCCGCAUCCCCUUGUCUAUAUUUACCUUCCUCUUCCUUUUCCGUACUUCUCCAUGUCACUUUUGCUCUCUCUAUCUCUCUCCUUCCCUCUUCCUAUAUAUCGCCCCAUUCUUUCUAUCCUAUAUGCUUCCUACCCAAUACCAUUAUUCCCUUCUCUCUCCUUCUUUACCUACAUCCCCAUCCUUUCUACCCCUGUUGGAGUCCUGGCCCGUGUCUGCCAC